ensembl:lncRNA
AGAGGCAGAAACAGUACAAAAAAAAGAUGCAAAAAAAGAGAAAGAGGAAGAAGCAGAAACAGUACAAAAAAAAGAUGCAGAAAAAGAGAAAGAGGAAGAAGCAGAAACAGUACAAAAAAAAGAGGCAGUAAAAGAGAAACAGGAAAAAGCAGAAGACUUGUUUAUAAUAGACGAAAUAAAAAAAGAAAAAGAAUUAGGAGAUAAAAUAAGAAAAGAGAAAGAUGAAAUAAAAGCACAAGAGCAAGAAAGAGAAGUAAAAGAAGAAAAAGAAGCAGAAAAGGAAAAAGAAAUUAUGAUAGAGAAAUCAAAAAAAGAAGUAAAAAAAUAUGUUGACAAUCUUAAGGUCGGAGAAAGUUUCGAUAACAGCUGUUUAAAUUUUAUAAAAACACAGAAGGAAAAAAACAGAAAAAAUUAUUUAAUUAAUCACAUAUUUGAAAAUUCACCUAUAUUAGAAAGUACUAAUGAUAAUAUAUAUGUUUAUGCUUCUGAUGAUAGUGAUAAAAAUGAAAAACAUGGUAUGGUAGCUAAAAAAUAUGGUGUGGUAGGUAAAAAACAUUACGUUACAACUGGUGCUGUAGCAGGUGUUAUGGAUGAAAGUCAACAGAAUAUAAAAAUAAGAGGACAAAACAAAGAAGAAAACGACGAAAUAAUUGAUAUAAAUUUAUUAAAACCAACUAUUCAAGAAUUAACAGAAGAAAAUAAAAAAAAAAAUAAAACGCUUCAAUAUUUUAAUAAUGAUAUUGCUACUAAAUAUGAUAUACCUUAUCUUAUAAAAUAUAAAGAAUUUUUUAUGGAUCUAGAUGAUAGGUGUAAUUUAAAUACACAUAUAAACAAUAUAUUGGAUAGUGCAUACAAUAAACUAACAUUGUUACAUGAAAAUAAAACGGUACACAACAUUAACAUUUUUUCAAAAAAUGAAAAUUUUUUACAUGCAAUACAUGUAUUGUUACAAACAAAUGAUAAAAAUAAAAUUUAUAAAAUUAAUCAUCAAUUCAAAUAUGUAUUAUCACCAUUUUUAGAAGUUAUAUAUAAACAUAUUAGUGAUGAUUUAAAAACAUAUGUCCAAAACCUUGGUUAUAAUGUUAAAAACUAUUUUUUAUCACCUGCUUAUUUUUCUUUAAAUAAUUAUUUAUCCGAAUUCUUUUUUGUGAAUAAUGAAAACAAAAACUACCAUACUAAUUUUGAACAUGCCUUUAAUAAAUUAUUAAAUGAAAUUUAUAAAGAUGUUGGAACUGAUGAACAUGACAAUUCUAAAAUGGGUGAAAAAUCACAUAAACAUAAUAACAGUAAAUUGUCGAUUGAUAAAAUAAAUAAUAUUAUUAAAAAAAUAUUAUUCAAUAAAAAUUUAGAUCUUAUAGAUAUAAAAAAGGUUCGUGAGUUAUUACAAACCAAUCCAUUAUUAAAUUGGACAGAACAAGAUAUAAUUGAAUAUUCUGUUAAAUUAUUAAAAACAUUCAAUAUUCCUAUACCUCCUAGACAUCUUGCAACAAUUUUUGUAUACAUUUUAGAAAAAUUAAAAAUACCAGUAUUAAAAGAUUAUACAUCAAGUACUUAUGUUCAUGUAUAUGACUUAUUUAUUGAAAACAAUGAUUUACUAUUACAUAUGGAGGCUUUAUAUAAACACAUUUUUAAUGUUUUCUUUACUGAAAAUAACUAUAAUACAUUAUCAAAAGAAAUAGAAUAUAUAAAUUCUGUUAAAAAAGAAAAUAUUAAAAUUAUCAAUGUAUCAGAUAUAUUUCCACAAUCGUUUUAUUCAAAUUUAGAAACUACAUAUGACUUGUUAUCAUACCAACAUGGUUUAAUCAUUUUUCAUAACACCUAUAAUACGCUUAUAAACUUUUUAAAAAAAAAAAAACCAAUUUACUAAUCUUUUUAAUUCCACACAUAAAGGACACAAAAUUACUAAACUAGAUCAAUUUAUUAAUGAACUUCUUAAAUUAUCCAAAGUAGGUCCUUGGAGUGGGUUAUCACAUGGUGUUAGUAGCGAUAGUAGUAGCGGUGAAGAUAGCGGUAGUGUUAGUGUUAGCGGUAGUGUUAGUGUUAGCGGUAGUGAUAGUGGUAGCGGUAGUGAUAGUGGUAGCGGUAGCGAUAGUAGUAGUGAUAAUGGUAGUGGUAGCGAUAGUGGUAACGGUAGAGAUAGUGGUGACGGUAGAGAUAGUGGUAGCGGUAGCGGUAUUAGCAGUGAACGUGAAAAUAGGC